UCUCAGGGUGAUUGAUCUAGAAGCUAUGCUCAUAGGAAAACAGAAAGAAACGGAGACUAAGCAUUUAGUACAUCUAGAGGCUAUCAGCUCGGUACAGCUAAAAUACUUGAGCAAGGUGCAGCAAGAAUUUGACUAGGGGUGAGCAAAAAAACCGAUAAACCGAUUAAACCGAGAAAACCGGACAAAAAAUAACCGAAAAAACCGAACCGAAAAAAAAAACCGAAUUAACCGAUUAAAAAAUCACAAAAAAAUUCCGGUUCGGUUCGGUUUCGGUUUCUGAAGUCUGAAACCGAUUGAACCGAACCGAACCGAACCGGUUCAACCAGUCAGCACUUCAAAAAAAAGGCAAGUAUAAAUACAAUCUUUUCUAACCCUAGAAUAAGGCAUUAAGCCAUCAGCUGCCGCCCCCCCCUCUGCAUCUCUCUCAUUUCACUCUCACUUUACUCUCCCCCCUGCCCUCCCUUCUCUGCAUCUCUCUCAUUUCACUCUUUGGCUGGUGGGCCGCCCCCCUCCCCUCCCUUCUCUGCAUCUCUUUCCCUUCACUCUCUGGCUGGUGAAAAAUCAAAGCAAAACAAGUUGGUCAUCGUUGGCUCUACUAAGACAAAGAGUGAUGAAGAAGAGUACUUGGCUGAGUUAACUCAUCAAAUGACUCACUCCACCCUUGAAGAUGAUUUCAAGAGAAACGACCUCCCUUGCAGCACCGAAAAGACUAAGGUUGGGUGCAGUUGUAGACAAGGAUCUAGCCGUGGAAGCCCGAAUGGGUCUUCACCUCCAGCAACUUGGGAUCUGUUGUAUGAGAUUGCAGGAGAAGUAGAGAGAACCAUUGGGUUUGAACCGGUUUGGAAGGGAAAAAAACCGAACCGAACCGAACCGAAAUUAAUCGGUUUGAACCGGUUUUCGGUUCGGUUC